ensembl:lncRNA
CGCAAACGAGCUAGUUAACCAGGAUGGACGUCCGUUCAGCAACAUCCUAAAAGUCUGAAAGCCUCCAUAAAACACAGCAUUAACACCAACACCAACAGGAACCUGCUGGAGAAACAGCUUCCUCAGUUCAGCUCCUAACCACUAGCUUAUAGCCCACAUCAGUAUUUAUGGAGUGAAGCUGGCUCCGUGUGAUGGAACUGUACUAGUAGGAAUGCAGUAAAAUGACUGAAAUUAGACAUGUGGAGCUACACACUGCUGUUUGUGCUGCAGAUCUUCACCUUUGCCCCCACUGUGUCCGGUGAUGGUUCUGUAACGGCCAAACUUCAUCACCCCGUUACCCUCACCUGUAACUCCAGAUGUUCUGGUGUACUCGAAUGGAGCAAGUUUCGAACCAUUGUGGCUCGGUGUGAUCAGACCUCCUGCAGGCCAGAGAAGGGAUUUAACAUCUCUCAUGAUCAGUACCUGAAGGGGAAUCCACAUCUCACCAUCACUGCAGCUGAUUACAGUGCGAGAGGAUUGUACACGUGUCUGUGUAACGGUACAGACAUCUGUAAAGUGCGUCUCCUCAUCGAGCCUCUAGAGAUGACCCGUGUGAUUGCCCCAGGCGAGCCCAUAGACGUGCUCUUACCCCUCACUGACCUGGUGGAUGUGAGUUUUACUUCCAGUGAUGCUGUACAACCAUCAAACCUGCAGAUCUGCAGCGUGGACAAGGAGAAGAUCCAGUGCAGUCCAGAUUAUAAAGAGAGAGCGUCUCUCCUCAACACUCUUCAGAUUAAAGAUGGAGACGUCUCUGACAGUGGGAACUACACAGUACAGGAUAUAGUGAAUGACGAGACUUUAGCCAUCGUAACGGUCCAUAUGAGAGGUGAACGCGUGUCCCAGACUCGCACUCGAAGACACCGCAGUGCCCCUGGUACGUCUAUAAAUAUAUAUAUAUGAUAUUGUCUGUCCUGCAGAUUCCUCUGUUUCUUCUGUAUAUUUAGUUUUAUAUUUAUUAAAAAGAUCUGACGCUCAACUCCACACUAAACUAAAUAAUAAACUCCUGCAGAAACAGGCUUAAAACACACACACACACACACACACACACACACACACACACACACACACACACACACACAAACACACACACACACAGGACCAGUGUGCACACUGCACUGAGUCAGGAGAUGUGUUGAUGGUCAAUCCUGGAAUAAUGGAUGAUGUAGAAGUUUGAUGUGGAAAGAACAGAAGGCUGUAGGCUGCACCUGGGUGUAGAAGUGAAGAGAGAAUAUCUGAGAGAGGUUCUGCUGCAUGUUAAAGUUGGUAUCAGAGCCGUGCUUCAUCACCACAUGCUGUACAUAAUGUGUGACGCUGGAAUGGGACUCACAGGGUCGUUUCUCUCUCUGUGUGUUUUACAGAGCCAU